CUGUUCAUUCAAGCCUGAAUUGAAUGACGAUUUUGCCCUUGGUGGUUACGUGAAUUACAGUUGCCCAAUUUUUAUAUUUUGAGCAUCGUGUCGUUCAGCAGAAGAGACUGGAAACGCAAAGGGGAUAGGUGGUGGUUGGUCCUUUCACUAAUCGAAAGAAAGACUGAAGCGAGUAGAUCUUGCGUUCUUGGAAUCGAAAGAAGAAUAGAAAAGGUUUUUGAUUGAAGGUGUGUUUUCGGUCGAUGCAUAUGCUAUUGGCUAUUUGAAUUGGUGGUUUUUGUUGUGGUUAGGUUUUGAUUUAUUUGGGUUUUUCUAUGUUUUAGGGGUGGUUGAGGAUAGCUGGUAUUGCGCUUGAAAGAAAGAUUGAGGGGAGUAGAUUUCUUUUCUAUUAUAUAUGUUUUCAGAAAAUGGUGGCAUGAUGUUUUGGAAUAGGUAGAUUCAAGUGUACCUUCUUUAGGAGCAGAAAGUACAUACAAUUUAGAAAAAUGGAGAUUAAUAGUUUAUAGUGGUCAACAUGACCAUUGAAUCUGGAUUUUUUUUCUUCAGAGAUCCCUCUUAGCUGUGGGAUAUGCAGUUUCUCUUUUCAUUUGCGGAUUGAUUUGACUGUACUGACUACAAUUGGAACAAUUUUUUUUAACACAAAACUCAUAAACUUAAAUAAAAAUACCAGUACAUAUGUAUAAAUAGAAACAUCUAUUAGUUCAUUUACCAGUGGGCAAUAUUUGAUUCUAUCUGGGUGUACCUUUGAUUCUGUCUGGGUUCUUUUAUUUAAUAAUAUCAUAGAGCUCUAGCUUUAUUAAAUCGACAGUUAACUUCUCUUAGAGGAAAGACAGAGAGUUCAAGGUCUGCAUCAAGUGGGCAAACAAGCCCGACCUUUAUCAAGCAAUUUAAUUCCUAGAUGCUGUAUUUUCAAGCAAAGGGAAUGAAUUUGAUUUGGAGAAAUACUGAUGGACCAAGGGAUAUUGUUUAAUGUUUAUGAGCCAAACAAUAACAAUCUGAAGUUUGGACUGAAAGACUCAAAAGAAAUUGUAGACCAGCUCCAAUGGCAUGGGUUCUCUCAAGAAGAAUGUGGUAACAUUGAUAGAGUUGUUAACAUUGUGAAAAAACUUCAAAAAGCAAUAUGGUGAAGAUAAUGAAACUACUGGAGAGCAGAUAAAGACUCUAGAUAUAGCAGUACCUGAAGGUGGGAUUCACGUGAAGAUGGCAUUCGUUUAUGGGAAUGAUAGAGAACUUUUUGUUGCAUGCGAUUAUUUAGCUAUUUCACAUUCUUCUGUACACUGGAUUUGAAUAGCUUGAAUUCACUUUCAGAUUUAAUAUAUUAUGAUCUUGUUGAUGUU